rnacentral:rRNA from 1 species
GUACGCUGGCGGCACGCCUAACACAUGCAAGUCGAACGAAGUAGCAAUACUUAGUGGCAGACGGGUGAGUAACAUGUGGGUAUCUACCCUUUGGCCUGGAAUAACACGAGGAAACUUGUGCUAAUACCGGAUAAGUCUUUACGGAGAAAGCUUUAUGCACCAUUGGAUGAGCCCGCACUUGAUUAGUUUGUUGGUAGGGUAAUGGCCUACCAAGACUAUGAUCAAUAGCUGAUUUGAGAGGAUGAUCAGCCACAUUGGGACUGAGACACGGCCCAAACUCCUACGGGAGGCAGCAGUGGGGAAUCUUGCACAAUGGAGGAAACUCUGAUGCAGCGAUGCCGCGUGAGUGAAGAAGGCCUUUGGGUUGUAAAGCUCUUUCGUCGGGGAAGAAAAUGACUGUACCCGAAUAAGAAGGUCCGGCUAACUUCGUGCCAGCAGCCGCGGUAAUACGAAGGGACCUAGCGUAGUUCGGAAUUACUGGGCUUAAAGAGUUCGUAGGUGGUUGAAAAAGUUGGUGGUGAAAUCCCAGAGCUUAACUCUGGAACUGCCAUCAAAACUUUUCAGCUAGAGUAUGAUAGAGGAAAGCAGAAUUUCUAGUGUAGAGGUGAAAUUCGUAGAUAUUAGAAAGAAUACCAAUUGCGAAGGCAGCUUUCUGGAUCAUUACUGACACUGAGGAACGAAAGCAUGGGUAGCGAAGAGGAUUAGAUACCCUCGUAGUCCAUGCCGUAAACGAUGUGUGUUAGACGUUGGAAAUUUAUUUUCAGUGUCGCAGGGAA